CCUACGGGAGGCUGCAGUGGGGAAUAUUGGACAAUGGGGGCAACCCUGAUCCAGCCAUGCCGCGUGUGUGAAGAAGGCCCUCGGGUUGUAAAGCACUUUCAGUGAGGAAGAACGCCUGGUGGUUAAUACCCAUCAGGAAAGACAUCACUCACAGAAGAAGCACCGGCUAACUCCGUGCCAGCAGCCGCGGUAAUACGGAGGGUGCGAGCGUUAAUCGGAAUUACUGGGCGUAAAGCGCGCGUAGGUGGCUUGAUAAGCCGGUUGUGAAAGCCCCGGGCUCAACCUGGGAACGGCAUCCGGAACUGUCAAGCUAGAGUGCAGGAGAGGAAGGUAGAAUUCCCGGUGUAGCGGUGAAAUGCGUAGAGAUCGGGAGGAAUACCAGUGGCGAAGGCGGCCUUUUGGACUGACACUGACACUGAGGUGCGAAAGCGUGGGUAGCAAACAGGAUUAGAUACCCUAGUAGUC
rnacentral:rRNA from 1 species